GAUGAACGCUGGCGGCGUGCCUAAUACAUGCAAGUCGAGCGAACAGAUGAGGAGCUUGCUCCUCUGACGUUAGCGGCGGACGGGUGAGUAACACGUGGAUAACCUACCUAUAAGACUGGGAUAACUUCGGGAAACCGGAGCUAAUACCGGAUAAUAUAUUGAACCGCAUGGUUCAAUAGUGAAAGACGGUUUUGCCGUCACUUAUAGAUGGAUCCGCGCCGCAUUAGCUAGUUGGUAAGGUAACGGCUUACCAAGGCAACGAUGCGUAGCCGACCUGAGAGGGUGAUCGGCCACACUGGAACUGAGACACGGUCCAGACUCCUACGGGAGGCAGCAGUAGGGAAUCUUCCGCAAUGGGCGAAAGCCUGACGGAGCAACGCCGCGGGAGUGAUGAAGGUCUUCGGAUCGUAAAACUCUGUUAUUAGGGAAGAACAAAUGUGUAAGUAACUAUGCACGUCUUGACGGUACCUAAUCAGAAAGCCACGGCUAACUACGUG
rnacentral:rRNA from 1 species